rnacentral:rRNA from 1 species
CCUACGGGAGGCAGCAGUGGGGAAUAUUGCACAAUGGGGGAAACCCUGAUGCAGCGACGCCGCGUGAGUGAAGAAGUAAUUCGUUAUGUAAAGCUCUAUCAGCAGGGAAGAAAAUGACGGUACCUGAGUAAGAAGCCCUGGCUAACUACGUGCCAGCAGCCGCGGUAAUACGUAGGGGGCAAGCGUUAUCCGGAUUUACUGGGUGUAAAGGGAGCGUAGACGGCAGUGCAAGUCUGGAGUGAAAGGCGGGGGCUCAACCCCCGGACUGCUCUGGAAACUGUACGGCUGGAGUGCAGGAGAGGUAAGUGGAAUUCCUAGUGUAGCGGUGAAAUGCGGAGAUAUUAGGAGGAACACCAGUGGCGAAGGCGGCUUACUGGACUGUAACUGACGUUGAGGCUCGAAAGCGUGGGGAGCAAACAGGAUUAGAUACCCCUGUAGUC